rnacentral:rRNA from 1 species
GUCCACGCCGUAAACGAUGGAUGCUAGCCGUUGGCGGGUUUACUCGUCAGUGGCGCAGCUAACGCAUUAAGCAUCCCGCCUGGGGAGUACGGUCGCAAGAUUAAAAACUCAAAAGGAAUUGACGGGGGCCCGCACAAGCGGUGGAGCAUGUGGUUCAAUUCGAAGCAACGCGAAGAACCUUACCAGCCUUUGACAUGCCUCGUAUGGUCGCCAGAGAUGGCUUCCUUCCGCAAGGGGCGAGAGCACAGGUGCUGCAUGGCUGUCGU